CACCGCCCGUCACACCAUGGGAGUCGAUUGCUCCAGAGUGGCUGCGCCAACCCGCAAGGGAGGUAGGUCCCCAAGGAGUGAUCGGUGACUGGGGUG
rnacentral:rRNA from 1 species